rnacentral:tRNA from 1 species
GCCGUCGCCAAGUGGUAAGGCACCGGAUUUUGAUUCCGGCAUGCGCAGGUUCGACCACCGCGCA